AGUCUGACCUGCCCUAUGAUAAUUUAUUAAAUGGCCGCGAUAAUUUGAUCGUGCAAAGGUAGCAUAAUAAUUAGUUUUUUAAUUGGGAACUGGAAUGAAAGGUCGAACGAGAAAAUAACUGUCUCAAUUUAAUUUUUAUUAGAAUUUUAUUUUUAAGUAAAAAAGCUUAAAUAUGUUUUAAAGACGAGAAGACCCUAUAAAGUUUAAUAUGUUGAUUUAUGUUUUUUAUUUUAGGGAUUUAAAUAAAAAGUGUAGAAUUGUAUAUUUGAUUGGGGUGAUUGAAAAAUUUAAUAAACUUUUUUUUUAUUGAAACAUUAAUUUAUGAUUAGUUGAUCCAUAAAUAAUGAUUAAAAGGUUAAAUUACCUUAGGGAUAACAGCGUAAUUUUUUUUGAGAGUUCUUAUCGAAAAAAUAGUUUGCGACCUCGAUGUUGGAUUAAAAUUAAUUUAUGGUGUAGAAGCUAUAUAUAUUAGGUCUGUUCGACCUUUAAAAUUUUACGUGAUCUGAGUUCAGACCGGA
rnacentral:rRNA from 1 species